CGGACCGGCGCACGGGUGCGUAACGCGUAUGCAACCUACCUUUAACAGGGGGAUGACACUGAGAAAUUGGUACUAAUACCCCAUAAUAUCAUAGAAGGCAUCUUUUAUGGUUGAAAAUUCCGAUGGUUAGAGAUGGGCAUGCGUUGUAUUAGCUAGUUGGUGGGGUAACGGCUCACCAAGGCGACGAUACAUAGGGGGACUGAGAGGUUAACCCCCCACACUGGUACUGAGACACGGACCAG
rnacentral:rRNA from 1 species